GAUUCAUUUCACGAUUGUCAAUAAUUUGUCAAAUAAAGUUUCGUAGAUUGACUGUUCCAUUGUUCAGUUGUUCUUGUAUUCCAAAAAUCUAAUAGUUCUGUUCUUAGUUCUUUUUAUUCGGUUUUUAUUUUCAUAAAUAAGUUAAUAUUAGGUCACUAGGAUUAACUACCUAUUGUGCAGAAUAGCUUCUACAGGCCUUUACGAUGUCUUGGAGAGGAAGGGAAGAACGCUCCCGCUGGGGUGAAAAUCGAACGCGUUCGCCAGUGUGGGAAGAUCGUCGCAGCGGCAGUCCAGCUCGAAGUAUGCCACCGUCGCCGCGCGAUCGCAGAGAUCGUGAUCGGCGCGAUCGACAAGACCGUUACGAGCGCGAUAGGGAGCACCGUGAUAGAGAUCGCGAACGUGAAAUGGACCGAUCAAGCCGCCGUGAUCGGUACGAUAAGCCCCGGGAACGUGACCGCGACAGGCGGCGCUCGCCUCGUCGUUACGAUGACGACGACGUUCCUGCACCGCCUUCUCCACCUAAAAUCAGUGGAGAUUCUAUUAGGAGAUGUAAUUCUCAGUCUAGGAGUCGCUCCAACAGCCGCGAGCGACAAGACACAGACAGCUAUGAUAGCAAAUACGACAAGGAAAAGCAUGACGACGGCCAAGUGGUGAAUGCAUCUCCUGGUGAUUGGUUCUGUAAGUGUGGAUCGUAUAACUUCAAGAGACGGCAGAUUUGCUACAGGCGAAACUGCCUGGGGAAAAGAACUGAUGGGGUAGUGUAUGGUGGUGAUUCAGAGAGAGGUGGUCCUGAUUCAGGAAUAACAAAACGGUUGUUAUUUAGGAGGCUUGACGCUCUAACAACUGAAGAGAAGAUCUUGGAAGCAAUAAAAGACAGGUGUUCAAAAGCAGUUCUAAACUCUAUUGUGGGUAUAACCAUAGGCCGUGAGACUUUGACUGGUGCCUCGAAAUGUUUGGCUUAUAUUAACUUUAAUUCUAUUGCUGACUCAACGGCCGCACAUUCUGAAUUGAUUUCCCUAAAACCACCAUUGACAAUAGAUUCUAGAGAUGUUCUUAUUUCAUUUUAUAAUGAACCACAAAAAAUUCAGAAGCCUAUAAAUUCUAAUUCUACUGACUAUUCUGCAUAUUAUUCUCAAAUGGCUAACUAUGGAUCAUCCCAAUCAUUAUCAGAGGCUGACAGAGUGAAUGCGGCUGCUGCAGUUGCCCAGUCAGCAAUAUCUGCCGCCCAAGCACGUAGCAUGUCUUGGACGCCAGUAUCAGUUCCUGUAUUUGUUCCAUCAUCAACGUCACAGGUUUCUACAGUAACCAAUAUUCCAACCGGUGACAGUAAGACAGUAUACUCUGCUCCGGAUGUAAGGACAUUUAUGUAUGAUGAGACAUCAGGUUACUACUAUGAUCCAGCAACAGGCUUAUAUUAUGAUGGCAAUACACAAUACUUUUUCAACAAUCAAACAAAUCAGUACAUGUACUGGGAUGCCAGUAGCUCGACAUACAUUGCUGCGUCACAAACUCAAACCAAUACAGAUCAACCUAAACUGCAGAACCCUCCUCAGCCAAGUGUAGAUAAUACAAUAGUCAAAGAACCUGAAGAAAAGAAAAAGAAAGAUAAAGAUGAUAAAGUAAAAGUUGCUAAAAAGAUAGCCAAAGAUAUGGAGAGGUGGGCACGAACUUUAAAUCAAAAGAAAGAAAAUGCCCGGAGCAACUUUGUAAUGGAACAACCCACUGACACUGGGCCUAGCAAAGGUUCUGCAGAUAUUGGUUUCUCUGUGCUGGGUGCUGGGCCAUCCUUGACUAUGGUAAGAGAACUCUCACCUCCACCAACUUUGCCAAGUGACGAAUUCCUUAUGAAAAAGACAGAUACAGGUGUGUUUGACAGUGAUGAUGGUAUAAUAGAUUGGUCAAAACUCACUUGCUUGAUUUGUAAACGUAAAUUCCCUUCAAUUGAUGUACUAUCCAAGCACAAAACAUUGUCUGACUUGCAUAAACAAAACCUAGCAGAAUUCAGGAAAAGGAAUGAAUUGAUGCCACCUACAAAUGGAUAUAGGGAUAGGGCAGCUGAAAGACGAAUGAAGUUUGGUGAGGAUGACCCACCACCAACCAGAAAGCGUUAUGAUCCACCAGAGGUGCAUGCACCAGUUGUGUCUGCUCCGCCCCCAUCAGUAGUAGAUACAAUAGGAGGUAAAAUGUUGCAAAAAAUGGGUUGGUCACAAGGAAGAGGGUUAGGGAAAGAAGAACAAGGAAGAAUUGCUCCUAUUGAAGCUGAACAGAGACCAAGCUUGGCCGGUUUGGGCCAAAAAAGAGGCAUAUACACUCCUACUCCUGGGUUGACAUACAGAGAUACAGUGAAAAAACUCAUGAUUGCAAGAUACAAGGAGGUGGUUGGACAAGAAGAUUGAUUUAGAGAUUUGGCGCCACAAUGCAACAGAGCCUGCGCUAUUGAUGUGCCUGUUUUGCAAUUGAACCGGUCUGCUGCGAGACUCCGUGCCAAAACAAAGUUAAAAAAUACUUUUAAGAUUAUUCUUUUGCAUGUAUUUAUUGCAGUUAAUGAAUUACAAUUUAUGUUUGUAAUUACAAAUAGUAUUUAAUGUAGUAUCUCUACAUGUUAAUUCGCUUUAGGUGAAAAUCUAGAUAGGCAAAAUGAAUUUUUAUUAUUAUUGAAUAGGUUUGUUCAGAGCAAUAAGUAAAUUAAUUACUACAUAAUAGUAACUUAUAGCUGUUGGUUUUAUUAUAUGUAUAUUUUAUUUAAAGGUAAUAAAUAUGUACCUUAAUAUAAACAAAUGCCAACAAGAGCUUAAAAUAAAUUGUUAAUUAGGUAUGUACUUAUGUAUACAUAAUGCAACGAAACUGAUGUUGUCAAUUAUAAAUGCAUUAAAAUUCAUGUAAGUACUAUUUAAUAAAGCCAGCAUAAUAUGUUAUGAUACUAGGAACCUAUUAGAGAAUUGCUUAAUUUUUUAGCAAUUUUUUAGAUUUACCUACCUUUGAAAAAAUUGUUUUCAUAAAGAAGUAAUUUAAUUUUGCUUAAACAGUACAGUUAAAAUUAAAAUUUCCCCAAGAAAAGUAUUUAGGGAUGUAGGUAAUGUAAUCCAUUUAUUGAAUUUUCUUAAUUAAAUUAUAAUAAUAUUUAGAAUAUGAUUAUUACUGGUUACAAUUUAAGUAGUUUAUAAUAUUUUGCCCUUUGGAAAGCUAUGGAGGCGUUAGGAAGAUAUGAAAAUGAUUUCUUAAUAAAAUGCAAGAUGUAUUAUCCAAGUAGGCAAUGAAUUUUCUAUUACAAAAUGUUAGGACCUCAUUAUAUACUUUGUGCCUUUGCCUAGGCGUGUUUAUGUAUAUUGUGUGUAUAUAGUUUUUCCAAAUAAAUCUUACUAAGGUAUAUUGUUA
rnacentral:misc_RNA from 1 species